UGGGGAAUAUUGCACAAUGGGCGCAAGCCUGAUGCAGCCAUGCCGCGUGUAUGAAGAAGGCCUUCGGGUUGUAAAGUACUUUCAGUCGUGAGGAAGGUGUCAGGGUUAAUAACCUUGGCAAUUGACGUUAGCGACAGAAGAAGCACCGGCUAACUCCGUGCCAGCAGCCGCGGUAAUACGGAGGGUGCGAGCGUUAAUCGGAAUUACUGGGCGUAAAGGGCACGCAGGCGGUUAAUUAAGUUGGAUGUGAAAUCCCCGGGCUUAACCUGGGAAUGGCAUUCAAGACUGGUUAGCUAGAGUCUUGUAGAGGGGGGUAGAAUUCCAUGUGUAGCGGUGAAAUGCGUAGAGAUGUGGAGGAAUACCGGUGGCGAAGGCGGCCCCCUGGACAAAGACUGACGCUCAUGUGCGAAAGCGUGGGGAGCAAACAGG
rnacentral:rRNA from 1 species